rnacentral:rRNA from 1 species
AGCGAACGCUGGCGGCAUGCUUAACACAUGCAAGUCGCACGGGCAGCAAUGUCAGUGGCGGACGGGUGAGUAACGCGUAGGAACGUGUCCUGAGGUGGGGGACAACCUCGGGAAACUGGGGCUAAUACCGCAUAUGGGCUGAGGCCCAAAGCCGUGAGGCGCCUUUGGAGCGGCCUGCGUCCGAUUAGGUAGUUGGUGGGGUAAAGGCCUACCAAGCCUGCGAUCGGUAGCUGGUCUGAGAGGACGACCAGCCACACUGGGACGGAGACACGGCCCAGACUCCUACGGGAGGCAGCAGUGGGGAAUAUUGGACAAUGGGCGAAAGCAUGAUCCAGCAAGGCCGCGUGGGUGAAGAAGGUCUUCGGAUCGUAAAGCCCUUUCGACGGGGACGAUGAUGACGGUACCCGUAGAAGAAGCCCCGGCUAACUUCGUG